ACUCAGGCCAUUGCACAGCACGAGUAUCUCGAACUUACACAGAUUCCAGAAAAAGAGACUUAAGCCAAGCUCCAUAGAGGGCGGUACCGCCUCCAUGACACUGAUCCACCCACAGAAUUCUGCCCAGUUACCUUGGAUCCACCAGCCACAACAAUCCUGGCAGAACACACCAAGAUUCCACCUGGAAUCCAACCGGUUUUCUGAGGCCUCAUCCUGUCUUUGGAAGUAACCGACCACACUUCGGAAAGUGUCCUGUGCCAAGGGCUGGACGUCAGGAAUCUUGGACCCGUUCUUGAAGCAGGGAAUUGAGUAACUUUCUCAAGUGCACGUUGACACUCCGUAUAUUUCUACCAGUAUCACCGAGGUUCAGUAGGUCUCAUGAAAGAAUUUCGAGCCUGGAAUUCUCUAGAGAAGCCUCCAUGCCGGUAUUCUCCAUUGUAGCAGAACAACUCUCAUCAAUAUGUUCGCAUCUCAGCUCAAUCCAUCCAGCCAACUUUUCUGCCAGGUUCUCUUCGUGUCUCCCAUAAAGUCGACUUCAACAGGACUGGGCAAGUCUGGAAGUAACUCUGAGCCUCACUAGUAUGCUGAUGACAGGCAGAUCUUCCACUGUCUGCCCUUUCAGAUUCUGGAAACUGACCCGUGAACUCAGGUCUUUGGGCAGCAGCAGUAACUCGAACUUGCACAGCUUCCCGAGCAAAAGACCAAAGCCAAGCUCCACAGAGGGCGGCAGACCCUCCAUCACACUGAUCCACCCACAGAAUUCUGCCCAGGUACCUUGGUUCCAUCAGCCACAACAAGCCUCGCAGUACACAGCAACAUUCCUUCUGGAAUUCCAUCCGACGUCAGGAAUCUUGGACUCGUUCUUGGAGCAGAUAAUCGAGUAACUUUCUCAAGGGCACGUUGACUCUCCGUAUGUUUCUUCCAGUAUCACCGAUUUUCAGUAGUUCUCAUGAAUGUCUUUCGAGCCUGGUAUGCUCUAGAGAUGUGUCCAUGCAGAUAUUCUCCACUGUAGCAGAACAACUUUCAUCAAUGUAUUCGCACAUCUCCUGAAUCCAUGCAGCCAGUGUUUCUGCCAGCUUCUCUUCGUGUCUCCCAUAAAGUCGACGUCAAAAGGACUGGGCAAGUCUGAAAAUACCUCAGAGCCUCACUAUUAAGCUGAUGACAGGCAGAUCUUCCACUGUCUGGCCUUUCAGAUUCUGGGAACUGACCUGUGAACUCAGGUUUCUGGGCAGCAGCAGUAUCUCGAACUUAAACAUCUUCCCGUACAAAAGACCUAAGCCAAUCUCCACAUAGAGCAGCAGACACACCAUCAAACUGAUCCACCCACAGAAUUCUGCACAUUUACCUUGGAUCCAGCAGCCGCAAUAUGCCUCGUGAUACACACCAACAUUCCACCUGGAAUCCAACCGACGUCAGGAAUAUUGGACCCGUUCUUGGAGCAGAGAAUCGAGUAACUUUCUCAAGGGCACGUUGAAUCUCCGUAUGUUUCUUCCAGUAUCACCGAGGUUCAGUAGGUCUCAUGAAUGUCUUUCGAGCCUGGUAUGCUCUAGAGAUGUCUCCAAGCCGAUAAUCUCCACUGUAGCAGAACAACUUUCAUCAAUGUGUUCGCACAUCUCCUGAAUCCAUGCAGCCAGUGUUUCUGCCAGCUUCUCUUCGUGUCUCCCAUAAAGUCGACGUCAACAGGACUGGGCAAGUCUGAAAAUACCUCGGAGCCUCACCAGUAAGCUGAUGACUGGCAGAUCUUCCACUGUCUGCCCUUUCAGAUUCUGGAAACUGACCUGUGAACUCAGGUCUCAGGGCAGCAGCAGUAUCUCGAACUUACUCAGCUUCCCGAACAAAAGAGCUAAGCCAAUCUCCACAUAGGGUAGCAGACCCAAUAUUAAACUGAUCCACCCACAGAAUACUGCCCAGUUACCUUGGAUCCACCAGCCGCAACACGCCUCGUGGUACACACCAAAAUUCCACCUGGAAUCCAAACGGUAAGUGCCAUCCCCAGUGGUUGAUGCAUCAAGUCCUUGUUGGGGGUGAUGCUGCAUUAGAGGAGAUUUUCCUAAAGGAAAUGUGAUUCUAUCCACAAGGGUCCCAUGGUCCUUUUCUCUUCCCUCUUUCCUUUUGUUCAGAUCUGUAUACACUGUACAAAAGGAGGGAAGUGUGUCCAUGAUCAUUUUAUGAAUUCACACUUAUUAAUCUUUCUAAAAGUUCACAGUACACAGAGACCCACUCAAGGAAACUCAUGUUUGUGUCAUAUCCAUUCACCCAGAUUACAUAUCCGUCUGUUGCUUUCUGCUGAAAC